rnacentral:misc_RNA from 1 species
CUCUACUAUUAUCUAGUAUUACUAUAUUUUUCCAUUAACAUAAAAAAACAUAUUCUUUCUCAUUUUUAUUGAAUAAAUAAAAGUAAUAAAUAAGCAAAAAUUUCAUUUUUAUCUAGAAUUUAAAUUGUAAAAAAAAAACUUCAUAAAAGAUUAGGAAAAGUAAAAGUAUAUGAUAUAGAAACCUAUAAUAUAAAUGAAUACAAAUAAAAACAAACAAAUCGAACCAAAUUAUAAAAAGUACUUGUUAUUUUUAAAGUUUAAAGAAACUAUGUAAGGCAAAUAGUACUAAAUAAAAAAAGGAGCAAUAACGCCCUCUUGUUUUAUCAAGAGGGAAGCUAUUGCUCCUUUUUUAGUUCAAAAACUCCUAUACAAUCAGACCAAAGUC